rnacentral:rRNA from 1 species
AGACACGUAUCCAACCUGCCGUCUACUCUUGGCCAGCCUUCUGAAAGGAAGAUUAAUCCAGGAUGGCAUCAUGAGUUCACAUGUCCGCAUGAUUAAAGGUAUUUCCGGUAGACGAUGGGGAUGCGUUCCAUUAGAUAGUAGGCGGGGUAACGGCCCACCUAGUCAACGAUGGAUAGGGGUUCUGAGAGGAAGGUCCCCCACAUUGGAACUGAGACACGGUCCAA